GAAAAAUGUGAGGGUGGAGAUGUUCAGUUCUUUGUUUCCAUUCACUUUUGGAGGAAGGGAGCCCCGGAGAAGAUAUUCCCAUAGUGGAGAGACUGGAAGAUGAAGUGAAGGGUGCCAUUUGUUCACCAUCCAAGUAACUUGACUUCCAGAUCCACAGGCACUCACUCCAUGAGAUCAUUCUGUGAUGAUGCCCUGCACUACAAUUAAGAUUAGUGCUGCCCUCAACAUUAGCUGGAGAAACCUCUCUAUACAGUUGCCCAGUGGUCAAUUAAGAGAUUUCUAAUUCGUCAAAGAGCUGAGGGUGAGAACAGUGCUCAACUCUAAAUGGGACAGCUAUAUCUACCCUACCUGAAGCUCGGGAAACACUGAAAAGGCUAUCACAGGUAAAAUUUACCUUUUGUUUCCGAAGAGACUCUGCACUUCUAAACAGUGUUGGAACUGUUAAAAAGCACGGGGGCUUUUGACGUUGGAUUGAACACGUUUUACACUAUGAGAUGGCCAGGAGCCUGUGGUGACAAGAAGUAGAAGGUUAUGGGCUAAAAGCAGCAUUCUGAGGUGUCAAGUUGACAAAGGAUAGACUUAGGAAGUUUGACAGAAUCAAGAAUCCUCUAGGAGACAAACUCGGACAUGUCUGUCUCCCUUUGGAGGGAAGACUCAUCUUAAAUGUGCACACCACCAUCCCAAGGACCAGGGGCUCAUAUUACAUGGAAGAAGGACCCAUGCUGAGCUUCAGCCUUCAUUCCUUUAAGCUUCCCGGCCAUGAACACAAUGUGACUUAUGCUCUGGCUGACAUGACUUUUUGACCACGGUGCACCCUUGAGCUGUGACCCAAAAUAAACCCUUUCUCCCUUAAGUUGCUUUUGUCAGAAUUCUUCUGCAGCAACGGAAGUAACCGAGGUCAAAGGCAUAAGUAGUAUUAGCAUUUGCUUUACACUGUUUUGUUUAGAUUAAGGCUAUAUCUCAGUUAGCAGAACAUUUGUGCAAGAAUCACAAGAGAAGCCUAGAGUUUCCUCUCUAGUCUUGGAGGUGGGGAGCAACCAAAAGGGUGACACUUCACUCUUACUUCAUUUUUCCCAAGAAUGCCUUUUUUGUAUCUUUAAAGAAAAUUCUUUCUUUAUAAAGAUAUCUUUCUUGACACCUCCUAGAAGUCCACUGGUGUAUAUAAAGAAAAUAGCUUCAAAGCCCACAUUAUGCAUCAGAGUAUGGGUUAAAAGUGUUUUAAAG
rnacentral:lncRNA from 1 species